rnacentral:rRNA from 1 species
GAUGAACGCUGGCUACAGGCUUAACACAUGCAAGUCGAGGGGAAACGACGGGGAAGCUUGCUUCUCCGGGCGUCGACCGGCGCACGGGUGAGUAACGCGUAUCCAACCUGCCUCUGACUGAGGGAUAACCCGUCGAAAGUCCGCCUAAUACCUCAUGGUACUGCCGGCGGGAAUCCAACGACGACUAAAGUUUUCAUCGGUCAGGGAUGGGGAUGCGUCUGAUUAGCUUGUGGGCGGGGUAACGGCCCACCAAGGCUACGAUCAGUAGGGGUUCUGAGAGGAAGGUCCCCCACAUUGGAACUGAGACACGGUCCAAACUCCUACGGGAGGCAGCAGUGAGGAAUAUUGGUCAAGGGGCGAGAGCCUGAACCAGCCAAGUAGCGUGCAGGAAGACGGCCCUAUGGGUUGUAAACUGCUUUUAAGCGGGGAUAAAGUGGGGGACGUGUCCCUCAUUGCAGGUACCGAAUGAAUAAGGACCGGCUAAUUCCGUG